rnacentral:sRNA from 1 species
UGUUUUGUUAAACAUGUAUGACUUUAUAACUUUAAGACCGUGAGGCCAAACUUUACAUGUGAUACCUUUUCGGAAAGCCCAAAGAGAGCUCUCCGAUGAAUGAGGAAGGAAAAUGGAAUUCUUUUAUUGGUUUUUU